GGGGGAAGGGCCCCCCGGGGGCUCCGAGUACGAGAGGAGCAGAGCCCCGGGCGUGAGGAGAAGGGAGAAAACCCCCACCCACGGAGAUUUGAGGCCAGUUUCGAUGCCUACUGAGUACAGCUGGAUUGGGGAGCCCAAAGAACAGAACAUGUACAAGAGGGGAAGCAGAGACUCUGAGAACUCGCUGCUGCGCUACCUGAGCGACGACAAGAUCCUGGUGAUCCAGGAGGAGCCCCUGGCGCAGAAGGACAGCAAAAGGGACACGGCCAGGAGGUCCAGGAGGAAGGGCAAAGGGCCAGGGACCCCUGGCUUCCCCAUCAGCCCCUCGGUGCUGGCCUCCACCAUGAGCAUCAGGAUGGAGC
rnacentral:lncRNA from 1 species